GAUGAACGCUGGCGGCGUGCCUAAUACAUGCAAGUAGAACGCUGAAGGAGGAGCUUGCUCUUCUGGAUGAGUUGCGAACGGGUGAGUAACGCGUAGGUAACCUGCCUGGUAGCGGGGGAUAACUAUUGGAAACGAUAGCUAAUACCGCAUGACAACAGUUAUUGCAUGAUAACUGUUUAAAAGGGGCAACUGCUCCACUACCAGAUGGACCUGCGUUGUAUUAGCUAGUUGGUGAGGUAACGGCUCACCAAGGCGACGAUACAUAGCCGACCUGAGAGGGUGAUCGGCCACACGGGGACUGAGACACGGCCCAGACUCCUACGGGAGGCAGCAGUAGGGAAUCUUCGGCAAUGGACGGAAGUCUGACCGAGCAACGCCGCGUGAGGGAAGAAGGUUUUCGGAUCGUAAAGCUCUGUUGUAAGAGAAGAAAGAGUGUGAGAGUGGAAAGUUCACACUGUGACGGUAUCUUACCAGAAAGGGACGGCUAACUACGUG
rnacentral:rRNA from 1 species